CACCAGCGCCACGAGUGGCAAUCGCGUUUAUUGGGCCUAAAGCGUCCGUAGCAGGUUUCUUAAAUUUCUUGUGAAAUUGCCAGGCUCAACUUGGCGAAGUGCAGGGAACACUGGGAAACUUGAGACCGGGAAGGGUUAGAGGUAUUCCUGAGGGAGCGGUAAAAUGCUAUAAUCUCAGGAGGACCACCUGUGGCGAAGGCGUCUAACUGGAACGGAUCUGACUGUGAGGGACGAAAGCUAGGGGAGCAAA
rnacentral:rRNA from 1 species